CUAUACUAUCCUCGUCCUUGAUGACUUGUGAGAAGGGUGCCCAUGUGCUUUUUUAAUUUCGAAUCGCAGUGAUUCAGAGGUUAUGCAAGUAUUUUUUUCAUGUGUUGAAGAGAAGAUUUUUAAAAAACUUAAACCAAAAACAUUCAUGUCCGAUAUGGCAGAAAGCUAUUAUAAUGCUUGGGUACGAGUAAUGCUGCCAGCUCAAUAUAGAUUAUAUUGCACAUGGCAUGUUGACAGGGCCUGGAGGAAGAACAUAGAAAAAGUAAAUGGCAAAGAGAAAAAAGUUCAAGUUUAUUAAAUGCUACGGGUAUUGCUACAAGAACGGGAUGUCAAUGCAUUUACUAAAUUAGUAAAUGAAUUUCUGACAUAUUGCAAAAAGGAUCUAGAUAUUUUAGAAUUUGCAAAAUAUUUUGAGUUACAUUAUCUCCCAAAAGUGGAACA